AAAACCUCAAGCCUGAAUUCAUUCAUGACUUGGUAUUGGUAUUGGGGUGGACUUGAGCCAUUCCUAUCCGAAAAUCAAUGGCAAAGUUGUCCGUACCAAUAGGCGUAGUAAUCAACAUUAUGUUUCGCUGUUGUAUAUAUCAUCUUUCGCCGUUAACCCCCCCUUUCAAGC
rnacentral:misc_RNA from 1 species